CCGACCCACUAACCCACAGCCACACCCCACACCCCACCCGUCCACGCACACCACACACCACACAACGCACCCAUGCAUCGAUCCAUGGCCGGCGCUGGCAACUGGCGAGCGGAGAGGCGGCGGCCCCGCCUCCAGUAGCCUCCGGCGCGGCUGGCCCCUACCCCUGUCGCCCCCGGCAUGGCCAGCGCAUCGCCCGUCGCCUCCGCUGUGCCGACCCGGUGCGGCGUCGCCCCGGCGCGGCCGGCCCGUCGCCUCCGCUGCGCUGACCUGUCGCGGCCUGCUGUCACCACCUCCCCGUCGAAGCGUUCGUCCACGCCCACCGCCCGCCGACCCCGCACUCCCACCGGAGCUGGCCAUGGAGGUCGUUGACCCUACCACUGAUCGAUCUCCUGACGUCGCGCGCGCGACCCUGCGGAUCCAGUCGAGGUCGAGCAGCCACCGCCGGAUCUGAUGCGCGUGACCCCGCCGGACCUCCCUGCAUCGCCCCUCCGUGCGCGCCGCCGGCUCUGCCUCGCCCAGCCACAUCGCCGGCCACCCAGGAGAAGACGAAGAUUUGAUUUCUUUUUUACAAAUUUUUGUAAGGUUCUUGCACGAAACCAGGACUAAUUUCUUCUUUCUUUGUAUGCGGGGGUCUUUUAUGUAAAGUGUAACCACCACAUAUAUGAAUAUAUAUAUAUAUAUAUAUAUAUAUAUAUAUAUAUAUAUGAAUAAGCACUUAAGCAGUUCUCAUACGUUUCCUUGA